UCUGCGGGUGGCGGGCGACACCUGUGGCCGCCUCUGGGAGGAGAGCGGAGUUGGCAGCUUGGCCUGCGAGCGUCGGGAACCCAGGCGCAAUGAAGAAAUGCUUCCGCAGUUACAGAUCGAACAACAAUUAACAACAACGAUGACAACGACAGCAGACAAGCCACUGGAAAUGUUCUAACAAUUCAAUGAAGUAGAAUUCUGACCGAAGAAGAGCCUCAAGUAUUCUUAGCGGACAAUGCAGAAGCAGAGGCCAUUUGCCUCCUGUUGUCCCCCCUCCAAAUAGCACAACGUUGCCUUUAACAACCCCCGGAGAAUCGUUACAACCUGGGCUGCGGAAAUCGAGACCCGAGAAAGCUCUCCGAAGCAGUUACGGAGCUGCAGAACAGAGGU
rnacentral:lncRNA from 1 species